rnacentral:rRNA from 1 species
ACGAACGCUGGCGGCGUGCCUAACACAUGCAAGUCGUACGUGAAAGCCCGCAAGGGUCAGUAAAGUGGCGCACGGGUGAGUAACACGUGGGUAACCUGCCCUCGAGUGGGGGAAUAACCCAGGGAAACUUGGGCUAAGACCGCAUGACCUCCCUGGCUCUGCGGAGCCGGGGAGCAAAGGUGGCCUCUGCUUGCAAGCUACCGCUCGAGGAGGGGCCCGCGGCCCAUUAGCUAGUUGGUAGGGUAACGGCCUACCAAGGCGACGAUGGGUAGCCGGCCUGAGAGGGUGUCCGGCCACACUGGAACUGAGACACGGUCCAGACUCCUACGGGAGGCAGCAGUGAGGAAUCUUGCGCAAUGGGGGAAACCCUGACGCAGCAACGCCGCGUGGAUGAUGAAGGCCUUCGGGUCGUAAAAUCCUGUCGAGUGGGACGAAUCACUGGUCGGUAAAC